GGUCAGUAGGUUGGUCGUGCCACCGGUACGUACUGGUCUCACUGAUUCCUCCUUCCUGAAGAACCGUAAUGCCAUUAAUUUGGUGUUGCGGGGAAACAGGACUGUUACUUUGAAAAAAUUAGAGUGUUUAAAGCACGCUAACGCUUGAAUACAUUAGCAUGGAAUAAUGAAAUAGGACGAUCGAUCCUAUUUUGUUGGUUUCUAGGAUUGACGUA
rnacentral:rRNA from 1 species